ACUAAUAAACACUCCCAAACCAAUAACAACAAGAGCACAAUCACAGAUCCAGACUAUUCAGUUGCUUUAAGAAAAUUAUCCUGUGAUCAGUGAACGAACAGAGAACACAAAAAGGAUCCAUCUUUAUUUAGGAACAAGAAAUUAUAAUAAGAACACACAAAAGUCAAGCUCUACAGAGGAAUAUUCUAGCAAAAAGGUAAAACCACAUGACUUUUUUCUAAGAAUCUGUAGCUGAAUAUUCAGAUACGGAAUAUAGUCAAACUUCAAACUAUAAAAACAGAUUAAUUUAAUGGAGAGUGUGGUUUAUUGACUAACCAUCCUUCUAGAAACCCAGGACUGUUCUGUUGUUGCUGAUGCUGCGGCGGCGGAGGAUAUUGCGGCGCGUACGGAGGAGGAUAACCUUGUUGAGGAUAUCCCUGAGGUGGAUAGCCUUGCUGAGGAUAUCCCUGAGGAGGAUAUCCUUGUGGUGGAUAAGCAUCUUUUGGAUAUCCCUCCGGUGGAUAACCUAUUGAUACAAAUCAGCACCAAAAAAAAAAAUCAGAUCCAUCGUAGAAAACCAAAAAUUAAGCAGAUCUAAGAAAAUUACAAUUCUAGCAACCGAAACUUC
rnacentral:lncRNA from 1 species